rnacentral:misc_RNA from 1 species
ACGUGUUUUUAUUUGUUUUACUGUCCUUUCACUGUAUCAAUCUGCAAGUUUUCAAAAUCUUGGUGGUAUUAUUUUCUCCCAUUAUCUUUUUUCAUUGGAUUGGUGACUGGUGAUUGGUUGAGUUCCAUAUAGAGGCGUUUAGUUGUUUUAUACUGCAAGAUACAAAUCCCGGUGUUUCUGGGAAGAAUCGAGAACAUUUUAUUUCCUGCAGGGCAUUUGUUAUGAGGAGAAGAAGCGGAAGAUCACACCAACCUACAGGUUGGGUAAGUGAAAUGAAAGCAGAGAGCGGUGGGAGUUUCGAUGGGGAAAAGAAAGAUUUACUGCUCCUGGCAGAACAGUUCGCAAAUCUUUUCAGAGAAUUCGCUGAGAAAUCAGGUGUAGUGAGUCAUGAAUAUUUCUGCUUUCUGCUUGCCUGUGGCUUAACUGAGUCCCUGUGCUCACAUCGUGAUGCACAAAUCAGAUUUGACCCGAGAGCUAGAUUUUCUCGCUGUCACUUUGCGCAAAAGCUUUUCCAAGCAAUAGCCUCGGCAUCUAGUGCUGCUACUCCUGAUUCUUUUGUGGGAGCGGACAACUACUUAGAUUUGGUCAUAUUUGUCCAAGAGAAAACAGCACUAAGUCAUGAAAUUUUGUGUAAGUUGUUUAAAAAUGUCUUCUUUGAGCUAUCUCGACUUUGGAAGGAUCCUCGUUUUGCUUAUGGCUUCCGGCCACGAGUACGACGUCUCUUCCUUCGUGUUCUACUAGAUCGUGUCAGAAAUUUCAUCGAAAGAAAAAGAGGUGAAGCUGAAUUUUUUUAUGGAAGGUCCAAUAAGGAAAAGAAAUGUAAUGAAGAUUACGUGAAUUAUCUUGUCAGGUUUUAUCAAGAGAACGCAUGCUCAAGCGAUGAAACUUCUUUCCUCGACUUGUUUGCUGCUGUCUCAUCUCGUUUCCCUGAGGAUCGACGGGAUUCACGCCUCAAAAUUGAUCUGGCUGCUUCCACUCAGCCUCUGUUCCCACUAGAGCUUCUCCGAGUAAUAGGGCUCAUAUAUACUGAUCCUCUGGUUGUUGAUGAACGCUUGUGCGUAGCUGCUGCAACAAGAUUGAAGAUUCAUCUUAAGACCCACAAGGAUAACAUUUCUAAUUUUGAGAUGGAUUGUAUUAAGACUUUAAUUGUCUGCCUUCGGAUCUGCAUAUCUCCAGAUUUUUUCAUCAUCCAGAGGAAUCUCGAUGGAGCCCUCACGUUCUUGCUUAGCCACGAUUCCUCUUGGCACCAGCCACUUGUGGAGCUUAUUCUGAAACUCCAAAACGAGGGUCUUCAUACUGCUCAUACACAACCAAUUAUUCAUACUUCCAACUCUAUCAUAUGGAAGUUGAAUGAUAAGCUACAUUGGAUGGAUCGAUCCUUUUAUGAUGAAGUCUUUUGUUUUCAAAAGAAUAGUGCUGCUUCCGUUAUAGAAAUCUCUAACCAAGCGGCUCUGCAAAUUGAUUCCUUUCUGUCAAUGUCCGCCCAUGAUGCCUCUGCAGAUGCUCUUAGAUCGCUUUUGGACAAGGAGUGGCUGUGCCAUAGAAUAUUAAAUCAUUUGCAUCCUUGUGACCUUCAUUUGCAACCUUGUGAACUUCAUUUGCAUCCUUGUGACCUUGAUUUGCAUUCUGCUAUACUUAAUUGGAAGCAGAGAACGAAAACCUAUUUGAGUGGCAAGUAUGAACAUCUUCAACAACUGGUUGGCGACCACGACCAUGAGGUAUCAACUUUUGAUAAGCUUACACAAGCUGUCUAUGAGACAACUGAGCUUUCUCUUGAGACAGAUUAUGAUGAUUUCUUAAUUCUUUCCAAUUUUUUGAAGUCUGUUUCUACAUCAUUUCGCAAAGUGAAUGAACACGUUGUCAUAUCAGCACUCAAGCGCCUGGUGAAGUUAUAUUUUAUCCCUGUAAAAUGGAUACCCGUAGUCUUGAGCAAAAUUAUAAUUCCUAGUUUAGCCAUGAGCGAAGAGGAUGAGCACUUGUUCACCACAAAUCAUCUUGAAUUCAUCACCAGGGAUAUGCUAAUUAGUGAUGGGCAUACUAGGAGGGGACUUGCCUAUAUGUUUCUUGAGAAACUUUUAAGUGAACUUCCCAUUCAUGUGCCUUUGAUGGUUAUGAAAAGGGUAAAGAAGAUGCUGAGAAGUAGACCUAGAAGCAGAUCGUUAUUGUCGAGAACGAUUGACCAAGAAGAAUUAGAUGGUCCACAUUGGAGGAGAAAGGAGUGUGCCAUACGCUUAGUGGUUUUUCUCUUGUCUAGGGAUGCCAAGGAUGACAUGAACUUGUCAGCCUACUACAAUUCCUUCAUCUCUUACUUGGAGUCCAACGUGUCAUAUGGAUGGAACUGUGCCUUGGAGUUUCCUAACAACAACACUUCGCUGUAUGGGGCAGAUGUAUACAUUUUUGAGCAUAUGACUGCCAAAGUAGCGUGGAAAGCGAGAAAGAUUUCACUCUUGAAGCGCUUGUGUGACAAUUCCAAGUCUGAACCUGAUUCAGACUUGACCAAAAGGAAGAAAUGGGAUACAUGCCAUCUUUAUUUCUGCUACUUCUUCCAGUCCAGCAUUCUCCCAGAGUUGCUUAGUGAGGAUAUGAAUACAUUCCCAAUGCUCAAGGCAGCAGCUCUCAAAUUUUGUUAUUUAUACUUGGAUAAGUUUCCAGUUUCACAAGAGUUGCUUAUCUCUUUGAAGCCUUGGUUAACCAGAUUUCUUGAAAGUGAUUCGAGUGUGGUUCAAUCAUAUGCUUCAAGAUGUAUUGUAAAAAAUUAUCAUAGGGAAAAAAUUGAGGGAGGAACUAAAGUAAAGGAAAAGUUGAGCUAGAAGAAUUGAAGGUUUGUCCUCUCCCUUUGGUUUUAUAGCAGCAAUUUUGAGUACACUUUCUUUCUUGUUGUAUCAAUACCCAAGAACUGAUUCGAGAGGCCUCGAGGCUUAUAAGCAGGCCCAUAAGGGAGUUUGUUUUAAUAAAAAAAAUUGGUCAUCCCAUUAGAAUUG